GGUCGGGUGGCGCAAUGGUAGCGUGUGGUCCUCCUAAAAAGAGAGAUUACCAAAGACUGAGGUUGUGGGUUCGAGUCCCAUCCCGAUCG